AGAACGAACGCUGGCGGCAUGCCUAACACAUGCAAGUCGAACGCUUUUGGGGCUUCGGUCCCAAAGGAGUGGCGCACGGGUGAGUAGCGCGUGGGAACCUGCCCUGUUGUGGGGGAUAACCGAGGGAAACUUCGGCUAAUACCGCAUACGCCCGGGGGAAACUCCGGGGAAAGAUUUAUCGCAGCAGGAGGGGCCCGCGUCGGAUUAGGUAGUUGGUGGGGUAACGGCCCACCAAGCCUGUGAUCCGUAGCUGGUCUGAGAGGAUGAUCAGCCACACUGGGACUGAGACACGGCCCAGACUCCUACGGGAGGCAGCAGUGGGGAAUAUUGGACAAUGGGCGCAAGCCUGAUCCAGCAAUGCCGCGUGAGUGAUGAAGGCCUUCGGGUUGUAAAGCUCUUUCGCACGCGACGAUGAUGACGGUAGCGUGAGAGAAGCCCCGGCUAACUUCGCGCCAGCAGCCGC
rnacentral:rRNA from 1 species